rnacentral:lncRNA from 1 species
UAAUAAUAUCUCAUACGCAUUAUUGUUUUAAAUGCUCCGGAAUCCUACAUAAAUAUAUCCACUAAAACACAUUAAGGCCCAAAUAUAAUAGUCCCAUACAUGUCCAACCCUAGGCUAAUUGGGCUCCAACCUAAGAAGAAAGCUUUUAGAACACAAUUGCAACGCAGUCCUACUGCCAUAGCCGACGAUCUAAAACAGUUAAACAAAGGAGGAUCUAUUCCGGGAACGAAAUUAGUAAAGAAAGAGCAACUCCACCUAAAAUCCAUCAUCCCAAACUCUUGAUGUAGCUCUUCAAGAAGGAGGGAGAUAAAACUCAGCUGUCCCUAGACUAAGUUCCUAGCCAUCUCAUUUUCUUAUGGGCAUUGAAGCCAGAUGCUAAAAGCUAGCUCGUUGACGCUGUAAACGUUCCCAAAGAUGUUUAGGCCGACAUAUCUCGAGAGUUCAACUUCCAAAGGAACUAGAAAAAUACCACGUAAACCACAUGCAGAGCCUUAAGCGGAGUUGCUCACCCAAGAUUUCAAGCUCUACCUGGCCCAAAACAACAUAAACAAACAUUAUUUACAACCUGCUCUAAUUUGCGAGGAGAACUUACUCUUCGAGCAAGUGAAUAAAGGCCGCCCCUUGUUUACAUAGAGCACAGAGAAGACGGCUGACGAAACUCCGCAAAAUGAAGAGGAGAAAAAACUCUCGUAAAGAAAACGGUUUGGCGGAAACUUCUGGAACUUAGGUUUCACAUUUCGGCUGUGGUUAAUUAUGAUUUCACUCAAUAUAUUAAUAACAUAGAUAUUGCAAACUCUUGGAGUUUAAAAGAAAAUGUUACCCUUAAACAUGCUCUUUCGAAAACUUUCAACAAGCCACAUUCGCUAGAUUUCAAUAUUGUUUUCCGAGUUGCUUUAAUUUUAUCUUUCUUUUAAGAUCGAUUUUUUUAGUUUCUUUCAAUUAUGGAACUAGUUUUUCUCAAUUCCAAAAAAGAAAAAAAAAAAAAAAAGGAGGUCUAGUUACCUUGAUAUAUAUUACAUGAGCAUACAGCCACAUACACAAAACAGGAAGAACAUGGGGAAGAUUCAAAAUUUACCUAGGAAUUAUAUAUGUUCAUCCUAAUUCAAAAUUUAAUUAGGAAGUUCAUCAUAGAAUUAGAAAGUCUAAUUUUUUUAUUAUUUAGGAAUUAUUAGUAAUUUUUUGUUUCUCUCGAUCCUCUCACUUUCCUGAUUCUACAUCAUACAUGCAUGCAUAGACUCGGUGAAAACAAAAAAUUUAACUCCAAGAGACUUCCACAAGUAAUAGACAAAUACCAAUACUCAACAGUAAACUGCAAAAGAAGACAACUGAUACCAUCUUAAAUCUAAUCUAGAAAGGACAAAACUUCAGAACAAGCAAAAUGCCCUUUGAGCAUGACUGUGAUGCAUAAACUUUUAUGCUCCUGCAGCAACAGCCAAUAUCUUAUGAAUGAAAGGUCAAAUUCAAAAGUAAAAAAAAGGACUGUGCAUGUUACCUACAAUCCAUUAUAAUAGGAGACCACUUCAGAAAUCACCAGACUCCUGAAAGAGCAUGCUUCAAGACAGUUUAAACUACCAACAUCCCAUUAACCCCAAUCUUCGGAGAAUGUUUUAACUUCAUUAUUUCCUAGCAUUGACAGGCAAAAUUGAACAAGUCGGACCAUAAAUCUGUAUUUGAAACUUUACAUGCAUAUGGAAAAAUUCUGAAGCAUAUGAUCCAAUGUAAAAGCAACUGAGUUUGCUUCAUAUAAGAAUAGAAAACCUCACCUCUACUGCGCUCCUUUCUUCUCGAGCACUCUAAUUUAUGUUAAUAUCAACAACUUGCUGAAAUGAAGACGCAAAAUGAAUGUCAAACGGGGGAGAGACAGUUCUACUUUCAGUUAAUAUAUUAAUAAAUUUGCAAUAUAACUGCUGUCUGUGGCAGAUUGUGAAUUUUUUUGAUACAUCCUGGUUAGAAAUUUGAUACCAACUAGCAACCAUGUGUGUUUUUAUUGCUGACCAACUCUGCCAAGAGGCCUUUUUUUUUUCCCGGAAAUUAUAUAUAUAUGUAGCAAAUUUAAUCAUUAAAAUGAAAGUUAUUCGUCAAAUAAACUGAGAAAACCUAAAGUUGUCAAAAUUGCCACAAUUUAAUCAUUAAUAAAUUACCGUUGAGAAAGAUGUAAUUGUGUUUCUCUGUUGAGUUGGCUGGCGUUUGCGCCCCGAUCUCCAUGUUGUUGUAUCUUUUCUUCUCUCUGUCUCUUCAUUUCUUCGUACUGUCAAAACUACGGAAG